UAGUGAAGGUGUUGUCUCAUUUUAUAUCCAAUAAGAUAUUAACACGAUAAUGUUUCAUAUUCAUUAAAUGAUUUGCCAACAUAUUAUUAAAUACAAAAUAUUGUGAGGGUUUUGCGAAUUUAGAUUAUUUAAAAUUAUUAAAAUAAGAAAUUAUAAUCACGGAUAUUGAUCAUAAAAUGUCUUGUUUACUAAUUUCCUUCAAUUUUUAGAGAGAUGGAAAAAUUAUUAAAUUACAAGAUAAAUAUAGAAUAAACAAAUGAUCAUUUUCUAAUUAUAAAUAAUACAUGUUUACAUACAAUUAUCAAUGGUGUAUACUUUGUUAUAUCCAAACAAUGAAAUAAUUGGGUUUA
rnacentral:lncRNA from 1 species